GCGGGUCUCUUCGGAGGCCAGCGGCGGACGGGUGAGGAACACGUGGGUAAUCUGCCUUUCAGGCCGGAAUAACGCCCGGAAACGGGCGCUAAUGCCGGAUACGCCCGCGAGGAGGCAUCUUCUUGCGGGGGAAGGCCCAAUUGGGCCGCUGAGAGAGGAGCCCGCGGCGCAUUAGCUGGUUGGCGGGGUAACGGCCCACCAAGGCGACGAUGCGUAGCCGACCUGAGAGGGUGACCGGCCACACUGGGACUGAGACACGGCCCAGACUCCUACGGGAGGCAGCAGUAGGGAAUCUUCCGCAAUGGGCGCAAGCCUGACGGAGCAACGCCGCGUGAGCGAAGAAGGCCUUCGGGUUGUAAAGCUCUGUUGCUCGGGGAGAGCGGCAUGGGGGAUGGAAAGCCCCAUGCGAGACGGUACCGAGUGAGGAAGCCCCGGCUAACUACGUGCCAGCAGCCGCGGUAAAACGUAGGGGGCGAGCGUUGUCCGGAAUCACUGGGCGUAAAGGGUGCGUAGGCGGUCGAGCAAGUCUGGAGUGAAAGUCCAUGGCUCAACCAUGGGAUGGCUUUGGAAACUGCUUGACUUGAGUGCUGGAGAGGCAAGGGGAAUUCCACGUGUAGCGGUGAAAUGCGUAGAGAUGUGGAGGAAUACCAGUGGCGAAGGCGCCUUGCUGGACAGUGACUGACGCUGAGGCACGA
rnacentral:rRNA from 1 species